GAAUCCGUGGCGCAAUGGUAGCGCAUCUGACUCCAGAUCAGAAGGUUGUGUGUUCAAAUCACGUCGGGGUCA
rnacentral:tRNA from 1 species